GGUUAUUAUUGUUCAGAUGAUUCAGCUAAGCUAGCUAAGAGCUGCAACAGUAAACUUUCUGAGCUGUAAAUAGAGAUGAGAGUGCUUAUGUGUUGAUCCUUAAUGGUGUGAUCAUGUACACUAAAUGAUCAAUUAUUCUCCAUUACAGGUUGUUGUGAUAUAUUUGAGGAGUCGUUCUCCCUCUGUUUUAUAUGUGGACAUUUGGGACCACUGUUAGAAUUUGGUCGACCACUUGACAUGUGAGAGCCUGAGGAGUUGUUCCCCCUCUGUCCAUGUUCGAGGACUUGCCCUCUGUCUGCCUCCACUCUCUGCCUUCACUGUACCAAAGUUUGUCUGUUGAGUCUCCUCUAGUCUGGUUGACCACAUGACAUAUGAGAGCCUGAGGAGUUGUUUUCCAGACACAGGUAGAGCUGGCAGGGGCGUCCCCCUGGGCCUGCCCUUUUGGGCUGGGCUUCAGCUGCAGAUCUAAAGGCUGCUUCCAGGGGCAUGGGGCCCUCAGCCUUUGUUUUUCUUUGCUUCUGCACCUUACAACAUACAUCACACCUUAUUUUCACACAUCCAAACACCGUUAACACCACUGACGCGUAACAUAUUUUACACAU